AUUAUGACUGGGGUUGUAGCUGGCCUAUAAAACGGCAUGUGCACGCUCCUUUCACAAUCCACACACACCUGUGCACCUUCGCGGGGGUCUUUUUUUUCUCUUCGGGGGAAUAAAGACUCGCGUCCCUUUACACACCCUUUGUAUGUCUUAAGAAUGUCUACUCGAUGUAAUAAAACGCAUCUAAUACAACUUUCAACAACGGAUCUCUUGGCUCUCGCAUCGAUGAAGAACGCAGCGAAAUGCGAUAAGUAAUGUGAAUUGCAGAAUUCAGUGAAUCAUCGAAUCUUUGAACGCACCUUGCGCCCUUUGGUAUUCCGAAGGGCACACCUGUUUGAGUGUCGUGAAAUUCUCAACCCUCCUCGCUUUUUCGGCGAGCGUAGGGAUUGGACUUGGAGGCUUUGCCGGGCUCUCAUCGCUCGGCUCCUCUCAAAUGCAUUAGUGCGUCUUGUUGCGACGUGCGCCUCGGUGUGAUAAUUAUCUACGCUGUGGUGCGCUUGCUUCUUGUGGAGACACGCUUUCGAACCGUCCGAAAGGACAGCUUUCAUCGAACUUUGACCUCAAAUCAGGUGGGACUACCCGCUGAACUUAAGCAUAUCAAUAAGCGGAGGAAAAGAAACUAACAAGGAUUCCCCUAGUAACUGCGAGUGAAGCGGGAAAAGCUCAAAUUUAAAAUCUGGCGGUCUUCUGGCCGUCCGAGUUGUAGUCUGGAGAAGCGUUUUCCGCGUUGGACCGUGUACAAGUUUCCUGGAACGGAGCGUCAUAGAGGGUGAGAAU
rnacentral:rRNA from 1 species